UGGGGAAUAUUGGACAAUGGGCGAAAGCCUGAUCCAGCCAUGCCGCGUGAGUGAUGAAGGCCUUAGGGUUGUAAAGCUCUUUUGUCCGGGAAGAUAAUGACUGUACCGGAAGAAUAAGCCCCGGCUAACUUCGUGCCAGCAGCCGCGGUAAUACGAAGGGGGCUAGCGUUGCUCGGAAUUACUGGGCGUAAAGGGCGCGUAGGCGGCUAUUCAAGUCAGGGGUGAAAGCCUGAGGCUCAACCUCAGAAUUGCCUUUGAUACUGUUUAGCUAGAGACCGGAAGAGGUUAGUGGAACUGCGAGUGUAGAGGUGAAAUUCGUAGAUAUUCGCAAGAACACCAGUGGCGAAGGCGGCUAACUGGUCCGGUUCUGACGCUGAGGCGCGAAAGCGUGGGGAGCAAACAG
rnacentral:rRNA from 1 species